UACGGAAGGGGCGAGCGUUGUUCGGAAUCAUUGGGCGUAAAGGGUGCGUAGGUGGCGCCGUAAGUCAGGGGUGAAAUCUCGGGGCUUAACUCCGAAACUGCAUUUGAUACUGCGGUGCUUGAGGACUGGAGAGGAGACUGGAAUUUACGGUGUAGCGGUGAAAUGCGUAGAUAUCGUAAGGAAGACCAGUGGCGAAGGCGGGUCUCUGGACAGUUCCUGACGCUGAGGCACGAAGGCCAGGGGAGCAAACGGG
rnacentral:rRNA from 1 species